AAUAGAUACCCGGGUAGUCCACGCCGUAAACGAUGAGUGCUAAGUGCUAGAGGGUUUCCGCCCUUUAGUGCUGCAGCUAACGCAUUAAGCACUCCGCCUGGGGAGUACGGUCGCAAGACUGAAACUCAAAGGAAUUGACGGGGGCCCGCACAAGCGGUGGAGCAUGUGGUUUAAUUCGAAGCAACGCGAAGAACCUUACCAGGUCUUGACAUCCCACUGACCGGUAUAGAGAUAUACCUUUCCCUUCGGGGACAGUGGUGACAGGUGGUGCAUGGUUGUCGUCAGCUCGUGUCGUGAGAUGUUGGGUUAAGUCCCGCAACGAGCGCAACCCUUGAUUCUUAGUUGCCAGCAUUUAGUUUGGGCACUCUAAGGUGACUGCCGGUGACAAACCGGAGGAAGGUGGGGAUGACGUCAAAUCAUCAUGCCCCUUAUGACCUGGGCUACACACGUGCUACAAUGGAUGGUACAAAGGGCUGCAAGACUGCGAAGUCAAGCCAAUCCCAUAAAACCAUUCUCAGUUCGGAUUGCAGG
rnacentral:rRNA from 1 species